rnacentral:rRNA from 1 species
GAGAAUCCCGUCCACCGAUUGACUAAGGUUUCCAGAGGAAGGCUCGUCCGCUCUGGGUUAGUCGGGUCCUAAGCUGAGGCCGACAGGCGUAGGCGAUGGAUAACAGGUUGAUAUUCCUGUACCACCUAUAAUCGUUUUAAUCGAUGGGGGGACGCAGUAGGAUAGGCGAAGCGUGCGAUUGGAUUGCACGUCUAAGCAGUAAGGCUGAGUAUUAGGCAAAUCCGGUACUCGUUAAGGCUGAGCUGUGAUGGGGAGAAGACAUUGUGUCUUCGAGUCGUUGAUUUCACACUGCCGAGAAAAGCCUCUAGAUAGAAAAUAGGUGCCCGUACCGCAAACCGACACAGGUAGUCAAGAUGAGAAUUCUAAGGUGAGCGAGCGAACUCUCGUUAAGGAACUCGGCAAAAUGACCCCGUAACUUCGGGAGAAGGGGUGCUCUUUAGGGUUAACGCCCAGAAGAGCCGCAGUGAAUAGGCCCAAGCGACUGUUUAUCAAAAACACAGGUCUCUGCUAAACCGUAAGGUGAUGUAUAGGGGCUGACGCCUGCCCGGUGCUGGAAGGUUAAGAGGAGUGGUUAGCUUCUGCGAAGCUACGAAUCGAAGCCCCAGUAAACGGCGGCCGUAACUAUAACGGUCCUAAGGUAGCGAAAUUCCUUGUCGGGUAAGUUCCGACCCGCACGAAAGGCGUAACGAUUUGGGCACUGUCUCAACGAGAGACUCGGUGAAAUCAUAGUACCUGUGAAGAUGCAGGUUACCCGCGACAGGACGGAAAGACCCCGUGGAGCUUUACUGUAGCCUGAUAUUGAAAUUCGGCACAGCUUGUACAGGAUAGGUAGGAGCCUUUGAAACGUGAGCGCUAGCUUACGUGGAGGCGCUGGUGGGAUACUACCCUAGCUGUGUUGGCUUUCUAACCCGCACCACUUAUCGUGGUGGGAGACAGUGUCAGGCGGGCAGUUUGACUGGGGCGGUCGCCUCCUAAAAGGUAACGGAGGCGCUCAAAGGUUCCCUCAGAAUGGUUGGAAAUCAUUCAUAGAGUGUAAAGGCAUAAGGGAGCUUGACUGCGAGACCUACAAGUCGAGCAGGGUCGAAAGACGGACUUAGUGAUCCGGUGGUUCCGCAUGGAAGGGCCAUCGCUCAACGGAUAAAAGCUACCCCGGGGAUAACAGGCUUAUCUCCCCCAAGAGUUCACAUCGACGGGGAGGUUUGGCACCUCGAUGUCGGCUCAUCGCAUCCUGGGGCUGUAGUCGGUCCCAAGGGUUGGGCUGUUCGCCCAUUAAAGCGGUACGCGAGCUGGGUUCAGAACGUCGUGAGACAGUUCGGUCCCUAUCCGUCGUGGGCGUAGGAAAUUUGAGAGGAGCUGUCCUUAGUACGAGAGGACCGGGAUGGACAUACCUCUGGUGUACCAGUUGUCGUGCCAACGGCAUAGCUGGGUAGCUAUGUGUGGACGGGAUAAGUGCUGAAAGCAUCUAAGCAUGAAGCCCCCCUCAAGAUGAGAUUUCCCAACUUCGGUUAUAAGAUCCCUCAAAGAUGAUGAGGUUAAUAGGUUCGAGGUGGAAGCAUGGUGACAUGUGGAGCUGACGAAUACUAAUCGAUCGAAGACUUAAUCAAAA